rnacentral:rRNA from 1 species
AGGCCCCGACUGUUUACUUAAAACACAGACAUCUGCAACGAUUAAUUUCUUUGUAUAGGUGUUGAAUUUUGCCCGAUGCCAUUAAUAUAAAUGAAAAUCUGGUCAAUGGCGGUCUUAACUAUGAGGAUCCUAAGGUAGCAAAAUUAAUUGUCCAUUAAAUGUGGUCCUGACUGAAUAAAGUAACGAUGGUCUCACUGUCUCUACAAGUAUCUCAGUGAAAUUGAAUU